GGACUACUGGGGUUUCUAAUCCUGUUCGCUCCCCACGCUUUCGCUCCUCAGCGUCAGUAUCGGCCCAGAGACCCGCCUUCGCCACCGGUGUUCCUCCUGAUAUCUGCGCAUUUCACCGCUACACCAGGAAUUCCAGUCUCCCCUGCCGAACUCAAGUCCGCCCGUAUCGACCGCAGGCCCAGCGUUAAGCACUGGGUUUUCACGGCCGACGCGACGAACCGCCUACGAGCCCUUUACGCCCAAUAAUUCCGGACAACGCUCGCGCCCUACGUAUUACCGCGGCUGCUGGCAC
rnacentral:rRNA from 1 species